rnacentral:rRNA from 1 species
UACAGAGGUCCCAAGCGUUGUUCGGAUUUAUUGGGCGUAAAGGGUGCGUAGGCGGCGCGGUAAGUCGGGUGUGAAAUCUCGGAGCUUAACUCCGAAACUGCAUUCGAUACUGCCGUGCUUGAGGACUGGAGAGGAGACUGGAAUUUACGGUGUAGCGGUGAAAUGCGUAGAUAUCGUAAGGAAGACCAGUGGCGAAGGCGGGUCUCUGGACAGUUCCUGACGCUGAGGCACGAAGGCUAGGGGAGCAAACGGG